GUACUGAUGAGGAGUCCAAAACUAGGACGAAACAGCUGUCCAGUAC
rfam:Trichobilharzia regenti genome assembly, scaffold: TRE_scaffold0007778